GUAUAGCUCAGUGGUAGAGUGCAUACUUAGCAUGCACAAGGUCCUGGGUUCAAUCCCCAGUAC
rnacentral:tRNA from 1 species